CAGUAGCCGCGGUAAUACGUAGGUGGCAAGCGUUGUCCGGAAUUAUUGGGCGUAAAGGGAGCGCAGGCGGGCGAGUAAGUCUUUCUUAAAAGUGCGGGGCUCAACCCCGUGAGGGGAGAGAAACUACUCAUCUUGAGUGCAGGAGAGGAAAGCGGAAUUCCUAGUGUAGCGGUGAAAUGCGUAGAUAUUAGGAAGAACGCCAGUGGCGAAGGCGGCUUUCUGAACUGUAACUGACGCUGAGGCUCGAAAGCCAGGGGAGCGAACGGGAUUAGAUACCCCUGUAGUCCCUGUCUCUUAUACA
rnacentral:rRNA from 1 species